GAUAGAUGUAAUGUGUGCUGACCACACAAGGAGAAAACAAAUCCUCUGGUGCUCUGAUUGGAAGCCUGUAAUCAAGCUGCAAAAAAAAUCCUUUUCCUUUCUGGGCAAAUUCGAUGGACGUGCACACGAAUCAACAACAGGGGAAUGAAAGCGGACGUUUCCCUGCGUGCUGACGGGCGGCGAGAACAGAAGUGUGUUUGUUCUCAGAACCCCACGGCCCUCCGAUGAGAAAGAGCGCCGGCGUGAUGGACGGGACGCGUCGAUUUUCCCCGGCGACCGGAGUCCAACGGGAAACCUCGUCCGUUUGAAAGCUACUUGGUUUGAAGGAGGAUGGGUCGGCCAGAGAUAAGCACCUUUUCAUCAGCAGAGAGCAACAGAACGUUUCGCCAUCAACCCUCAUUUCUCAUGUUUCUUAUGUGAACAUUACUCCCUCGAUCUCUAUUUAUAGUAUCAUAUUUUCCUGCAGUACGAAUAGCAGCUGGACUCUGUGUUCAAAUAACCAACAUAAUGAGAUACUACAGAAUCCGAGAACAGUUUCUUGCAGGAUGCUAAAUUUCAUGGGACGAUCCAUCUGUUGAUGUUUCUCCUCGGACCCUUUUUUUGCACACCGACACAUUGAAAAUGGAAAGAGGGAAAACCUCCCUCUUUCCAUUUAGAAUGCUUGCCAGCUUCUAGGUGGAGAGUGAACAGCACGACUGAAUAGUAUAAAAGUGGUAACCCCCCCCUUUCUAUUUCCAGCUCUAACUCAGCACUUUGCCGCUUCUCUCCCGUCAACGUUGUUCUCUGCACUCACAUCCACUUUGGAUGUUGUUGUUCAAUCAGCAGAUAACCGAUCAUCUCUGGAGCACAACCCCUCGUUCGCUUUCUGUCCUCCUCCGUCUCACCCGUAAUGAUCCAUCUCACGAGUCGGAUCAACACGUCCGUGACUCUGGAGAUGUCAGAGCGGCGUGGUCUGCGGGCGGAGAUGUUCCAGCUGGGACAGACUGGCUGGAGGAGCGUGAAAUAUCUCACCAACCUGCAUUAAUCCACCACUUUGUGUUGAGGAGCAUAGAGCACCUUUGGACGAAGCUAAUCUUACAUCUUCCUUUAACUUGUCUUGUUUUUGAGGUGUUGGAUUAAACUUUUCAUCCGGUGAGAUUUGACACACUUGCUUAACCC
ensembl:lncRNA